UGGGCAACCUGCCCCCUAGCUCUGGGAUAACUGCGGGAAACUGUAGCUAAUACCGGAUGUGACACGAGACUGCAUGGUCUUCGUGUGGAAAGAUUUAUCGGCUAGGGAUGGGCCCGCGGUCUAUCAGCUUGUUGGUGGGGUAAUGGCUCACCAAGGCGACGACGGAUAACCGGCCUGAGAGGGCGACCGGUCACACUGGGACUGAGACACGGCCCAGACCUCCGUACGGGA
rnacentral:rRNA from 1 species